rnacentral:rRNA from 1 species
GGGAAUUUUCCGCAAUGGGCGAAAGCCUGACGGAGCAAUACCGCGUGAGGGAAGACGGCCUAUGGGUUGUAAACCUCUUUUUUCAGGGAGGAAUAAAUGACGUGUACCUGAAGAAUAAGCAUCGGCUAACUCCGUGCCAGCAGCCGCGGUAAGACGGAGGAUGCAAGUGUUAUCCGGAAUCACUGGGCGUAAAGCGUCUGUAGGUGGUCAAAUAAGUCAACUGUUAAAUCUUGAGGCUCAACCUCAAAAUCGCAGUCGAAACUAUUAGACUAGAGUAUAGUAGGGGUAAAGGGAAUUUCCAGUGGAGCGGUGAAAUGCGUAGAGAUUGGAAAGAACACCGAUGGCGAAGGCACUUUACUGGGCUAUUACUAACACUCAGAGACGAAAGCUAGGGUAGCAAAUGGGAUUAGAUACCCCAGUAGUCA